rnacentral:lncRNA from 10 species
AGCACUUAUUCUAAAAUCAACCACAUAAUUGGAAGUAAAACAUUCCUCAGCAAAUGCAAAAGAACAGAAAUCAUAACAAACAGUCUCUCAGACCACAGUACAAUCACAUUAGAACUCAGGAUUAAGAAACUCACUCAAAACCUCAUAACAACAUGGAAACUGAACAACCUGCUCCUGAAUGACUACUGGGUAAAUAACAAAAUUGAGGCAGAAAUAAAUAAGUUAUUUGAAACCAGUGAGAACAAUGACACAACAUACCAGAAUCUCUGGUACCAGCCCAAAAUCUCCUUAAGCUGAUAAGUAACUUCAGCAAAGCCUUAGGAUACAAAUUCAAUGUGCAAAAAUCACUAGUACUCCUAUACACCAAUAAUAGAGAAACGGAGAGCCAAAUCAUGAGCAAAGUCCCAUUCAUAAUUGCUACAAAGAGAAUAAAAUACCUAGAAAUACAACUUACAUGGGAUGUGAAGGACCUCUUCAAGGAGAACUACAAACCACUGCUCAAGGAAAUAAGAGAGGACACAAACAAAUGGAAAAACACUCCAUGC